CUACGGGUCGCUGCAGUAGGGAAUAUUGGACAAUGGGCGAAAGCCUGAUCCAGCAACACCGCGUGCACGAUGACGGCCUUCGGGUUGUAAAGUGCUUUUAGAGGAGAUGAGAAAGGACAGUAUCCUCUGAAUAAGCCUCGGCGAACUACGUGCCAGCAGCCGCGGUAAAACGUAGGAGGCAAGCGUUAUCCGGAUUUAUUGGGCGUAAAGCGCGUGCAGGCGGUCUAGCAAGUUGGAUGUGAAAGCUCCCGGCUCAACUGGGAGAGGUCGUUCAAUACUGUUAGACUAGAGAAUAGAGAGGGAGGUGGAAUUCCGGGUGUAGUGGUGAAAUGCGUAGAUAUCCGGAGGAACACCAGUGGCGAAAGCGGCCUCCUGGACUAUUUCUGACGCUAAGACGCGAAAGCUAGGGUAGCAAACGGGAUUAGAUACCCGUGUAGUC
rnacentral:rRNA from 1 species